GGCUUUAAGAGCUGUUAACAAGUCACACAAGGACCUCCCUUGCUCCAGCCUGGAACAGCAGUAUCCUCUCCCUUGGCCUACCCAAAUCAGACCCGGCCUUCAAAGAAGCACCCCAGGUAACAGCCCAUGUAACACCAUUAUAAUGAUUAAAACAUUACCACCUCCAAAAUGAACAAAAGGCCCUCUAUCAUGACCCGGAGCCAUGACGAUAUAUGCACACUGAUGGAGGCGCAUGCACCUAGUACCUUUCAUUACACCUUUCAUCCAAGGAACUCCAAGUGCUUGAUGACAGCCCUGAGACGUAAAGGUGGAGAGCCAGAAACUUGGUGUUUACGGAUCUUGCCUGAAGCCAUGGCCUGCCUUAGGGGCGCCUGGGUGGCUCAGUCGUUAAGCGUCUGCCUUCGGCUCAGGUCAUGAUCCCAGGGUCCCGGGAUCGAGCCCUGCAUCGAGCUCCCUGUUCCACGGGAAGCCUGCUUCUCCCUCUCCCACUCCCCCUGCUUGUGUUCCCUCUCUCGCUGUGUCUCUCUCUGUCAAAUAAAUAAAAUCUUAAAAAAAAAAAAAAAUCUCUUUCUUUUAGAUUGUAGAGAGGGAGAGAAUGAAUGA